GCUAUUCCUUAAGAAAAAUCUAGCUUUCAGCUUCUACUCUUUUGCCUGGCUCCUUCUCUUUCUAUUGAGCCUUCACUAUUUUACUGUCUUCUUGAGAAAUAACACCACAAGUUCCUAUAUUCUGUUUGAGUUUGCUCGCUUCCAUCGUUACUUGGCAUCUGUAGGUGAAAAUUUCUUUUCAAACUUCUAAAGUUUCCUCUUUCUUGGUGACAUCUGUAGUUGAAAAUCUCUUUACAAACUUCUAAAUUUCUCGAUUUCGGUUUCAUAUUAUCUCAGUAUGUGCUUUAUAGUUCUGAAAGUUUCUAUUGUCUAGAUCUUUUUGUACAUUGGGAUCUAUACUUGAUGAAUUCUUUUCAAUAUGCCUAAAUUUAAUCAAUCGUAGUUCUAUGUUGUCUCUGGUAUGUGCAAUAUAGUUGUGGUGAGUUUUCCUAUAAUUCUUGCUUCUUCUUUUCUUAUAUGCACAUUGUCGCUAAUGCUAUUUUUAGUGGGCAUCAGGUAGUUCCCCUGUUCGUUGGAUAUUUUCUUGCUGGAGUUUCACAUGCAUGGCUGUAAGUAUAUUAAAUUUGCACACUAAUGCACUGACGAUGCUUGAUAAUAUGCCUAAAUCAACAGCUUCUUUUAUUUUUUUCAUUUGCCCCCUUCCUCUGUCCUCGUAAUUAAUUUUUUAUGGAAAUUUGAUCAAUCUUCUUACCAGCGCUACAACUUCCAGUCCUUUAAGAUAAAAUUUCUGUAAAAUUAUGUCCAAAACGGCUGGUAGUUAUAGGCUUAUAGCUUUAACUUUAUUAAUGCAUAACAUAUGUAGGAAGAAUAUUUUUGAACCUUGCAUAUCCUUCAUCAGAAAGAGAAUGUGAAAUUGCUAAGAGAAAAUUAGAUAUUUUUAACGAAUGGAGAGACUCACUUGGAGAAUGUGUUAUCUUAUUUGAAAUUGCCAGGAGAAAAUGUGAAAUGUACGCUUUUGUUAUCUAAUGUAGCUGGGUAGCUGCCAGUUACAAAGUUUAAAGCUAUACAAGAGUAGACUAGGAUUUAAAAAAGGCGCUGUUUAGUAAUUUUAUAGUUUUUUCAGCGUCUAGCUAAGAUGAAUCCUUGAAUAUUGAGGACCUUAAUGGGCCAUAUCGAAAUAUCUUGGAGAAGGUUGUAGAACAGUAGAAGGAGGAGAAGUGUUUUGCUUAGAACAAUCCUAACUAUUCAUUAUUGUCCGCUAUAUGUGUCUCUUUGUAGAAUGGAGGUAAGGUUAAUAUGGGUUUGGUAAAGCUCAAGAAGUGCUUAUCAUGACUAGGAGGAAUAACCCGUAUAAA
rnacentral:lncRNA from 1 species